AGCAACAUUUGAUGGCAGCUCCUCAAUCACCACAUUAUAGAACCUCUGGAUGUCAAACAGCAUCCUCUCAUCAUCCCUCGUCACAAAAUUGAUUGCGACACCUUUCCUCCCAAACCGUCCACCACGUCCAAUUCGAUGGAGAUAGUUCUCUGGCUGUGUAGGGAGAUCAUAAUUUAUAACAAGGGACACUUGCUGGACAUCAAUGCCACGAGCCAAAAGAUCAGUGGUGAUUAGAACACGAGAUGACCCAGAUCGAAAUUCACGCAUUAUGAUAUCUCUUGUGUUCUGGUCCAUAUCACCAUGAGUGGCAGAGACUGUGUGGUCUCUACUCCGCAUCUUGUCUGUCAGCCAAUCAACCUUGCGUCUAGUGUUGACAAAAAUAACACUUUGGGUAAUGGCUAAGGUUUCAUAAAGAUCACAGAGUGUCUCAAGCUUCCAUUCUUCCUUCUCCACAUUGACAUGAAACUGCUUUAUACCCUCCAAGGUGAGCUCAUCACGCUUCACAAGAAUUCUAACAGGUUUGUUCAUAAACUUCCUCGUGAUCUCCAGAGCCUCAGGUGGCAUUGUGGCAGAGAAUACACCAACUUGAAUUUUUGAUGGCAGAAGCUGAAAAAUAUCAUAGAUCUGAUCCUUGAAACCACGUGAGAGCAUUUCAUCCGCCUCAUCCAACACAAACAUCCUGAUGUAAUCAGGACGAAGUGACUGUCUUCGCAGCAUGUCAAAUACACGACCAGGAGUGCCAACAACAACAUGCACUCCACUUGAUAGGAUGCGUUGAUCUUCACGGACACUGGUUCCACCAACACAAGCAUGCACCUUGACACCGAGAUAAUCCCCAAGUGCUCGCAUAACCUUUUCGAUCUGUUGUGCAAGCUCCCGAGUGGGUGCCAGGACCAAGGCCUGGCAUUCCACCAAAGCAUAAUCAAGUUGUUGGAGAAUACCAGAACAGAAAGUUGCAGUUUUCCCUGUUCCAGAUUGAGCCUGUUGAAUCACAUCAAGUCCCUUGCAGAAGGGAACAAUUCCUCUCUGCUGGAUUGCUGAGGGCUUCUCAAAACCUAUAAAAUCAUCAUUAGAACUUUAAGCAUUUGACCCUCCUAUGAAGUAAAGGAGCAAAUGAGUAGAUAGUAGAUGGUACACAUUCAUGAUGGCAUGAAUGCAUAUGCUUUCAUGCUUCAUCAAUCAUUUAUAAUUCAGUAGAUAGUAGGCGGCCACUAGACACAUGCACUAGAUAUAGGUCAUCUUUAAUUAUUUACCAAAUUAGAAUGGAGAGAAUUCAAAACCAAAAUAAUUAAACUGGUUGUGGAAGCAUAUCAUGUCCCCUUUUUUUAAGAGUGCAGCUAUGUUACCUGCCUAAGAUGUACCGGCCCAUGCCCACCAAACGUAGCACUUACCAUGUUAUGCCAAUUUUUAUUCUCAGAGGACACUCACACAUUUUACCAUUCAGUUUUAUAAAACAAAAUACAACCUUCUUACUUUUCAAUAAACAAUUUAUAAGCAUCAGCAUAGAAUCUUUGCUUUUACUUAAAUCAAUAAAAGUCUACAAUUCUGUUAAAAAUGGAACACUGCUAUCUAAACCAAAACUCAUAUUAUCAAAGAAAAGUACCAUAACAAGCUUAAAAGUAAAAAAUUUGAAAGAAUUACAGUGUAGAUCCCAGCAUGUGCGCAAGUUUUACAAAAUGAACCAUAAUAUUUUGCAUCACAACUCUCAUCAUCGCACUGUCAUUUGGGGAUUUUCAAGGUAUUUAUGCACUUCGGGUUUCAACUUGUCUUCUAUGAUUUGAGAAAUAAUUCAGCUGAAUAUAUUAUAGUAAUAUGAGUGUCACCAAAAGAUGUACUGGGGAAGGGAAAAGGUCAAGAGGGAGUUUUCACUCCCAACAGAGACUAGUGUUUUACUUUCUCAUGCGUCUUUCUCUUAUCCUCACGUGAGGUGGGAUAAAGGCAGCAGAAAUGCAGCAGGUUAAGGAGCAUUUCUCUUUUUUGAAUGAUUCUUAAUAAAUUCAACAAAGGGAAAGCAACCCAUGUACCAAAGCACAAAAACAAAAAGGAAAAAUUAUCUAAUGCUGCAUUACAACACAACCUAAGAGAAAAUACAGAGGCAUAAUUAUGUUUACCAUAUGCAUAGAUGCCCCUUAGAAGAUUCUCUUGCAAACCCAUAGAAUCAAAACUAUCAUAAACUUCAUCGUAUGAUGUGAAAAAAUCCUCUCCUUCAGUUGUGAGUAAUUCGUUCAUUUUGGCAUCAUAUUGUUUUGCAUCAAAUUGGGAUCCUUCUGCUGCUAGUCCAGCCAUGACUGAUGAUUGGCGAUGAAAGAGUGAAAUUGAAGAAGAGAGCUUUAGCUAGUUUGCUUGCUUGUUUCGGAAGAGCAAAUUAGGGUUUCCCAAACUCCUCGGAUCUAAACCGUGGAGUUAAGAAAAUCU
rnacentral:misc_RNA from 1 species